AAAUCAUUUACUGGUGGUAUACCUCGAGGACUGCGUCUGGAAACCUUGGAUUACAGUACAGGUUUCUUUUUAACCCCUUAAGGACACAGUUUCAGAAAUAAAAGGGAAUCAUGACGGAAUAUUUCCAUCGUGUGUCCUUAAGGGGUUAAUGCUGUUGCAGUAAUUCGUUUUAAUUUCACCCUUUCUGUCGGUCACGCAGUGUUCGCUGUACGUCUGUACAUGAC